UUCUAUUCUGUUUCUCCAUUAUGCUUCUCACAUUCUAUUCUAUUCUAGGUCUGCCACAUUCUAUUCUGUUUCAGCCAUAGCUUUGAAGUAACUCUUCUGAUGGAACUUCUGUGUUCCAAGGUAGUCCCCAGAAAACCCUGAAACAGCAUGGCCUCCUUGUCAUGUUGGAAUGGAAACACAGCUCUUUAUGUGAUAGAAAGUUGGAGAAUAAAGUAAUGACUUUCCUCUUCUUGGACCUUCAUGAUACUAUGGGUAGGAGACAAGAGACAGCCAAGGAGUUCCAGUGCUCCUGCUGGGAAUUCCACCUCUGAUGUCUGCAUCUCUGUCAUAUGCAUCUACAGAGAGAAAAGAAUUUCUUCAUGCAGAAACCUCACCCCCCAAACCCAAGAUUCACAGCAUCACCAAAAUGCCUAUGAGUGCCGAUUUCACAGAAAAUGGAGAAACUGUUAG
rnacentral:lncRNA from 1 species